rnacentral:rRNA from 1 species
GGAAUGAAAGGUUGUACAUUAAAAAUAUGUAUCUUUAAACCUUAAUUAAAUUGAGAAUAAAGUAAAAACUCUUUUUACCAAAAAGUGGGACGACAAGACCCUUAUAAACUUAUCAAUUAGUUGGGGAAACAUUAUAAUCAAUAUUUAUCAAAAAAAAUACAUAACUUUAAAAAAAAACGAGAACAGUUACUAAAGGGAUAACAGCGCUAUUUCUUUCAAGAGCCCUUAUCUAAAAAGAAGAUUACGACCUCGAUGUUGAAUUAGUUUAUCCUACUAAAUUCGCGCAAAAGCGUAGUAAGGCUGUCUGUUCGACAAAUAAAAAACU